rnacentral:sRNA from 1 species
GCUGGGCGUAGUGAUGCAUGCCUGUAAUCCCAGUGACUCAGGAGGCUGAGGCAGGAUGAUCGAUAGUUCAAAGCCAGCCUCAGCAACUUAGCAAGGCCCUAAGCAAUUCAGUGAGAGCCUGUCUCUA